rnacentral:rRNA from 1 species
UCCAGAGGGUGCGAGCGUUAAUCGGAAUUACUGGGCGUAAAGCGUGCGCAGGCGGUUCGUUAAGUUCGUUGUGAAAGCCCCGGGCUCAACCUGGGAACUGCAAUGGAAACUGGCGGGCUUGAGUGUGGCAGAGGGGGGUGGAAUUCCGCGUGUAGCAGUGAAAUGCGUAGAGAUGCGGAGGAACACCGAUGGCGAAGGCAGCCCCCUGGGCCUGCACUGACGCUCAUGCACGAAAGCGUGGGGAGCAAACAGG